rnacentral:rRNA from 1 species
CCUACGGGUGGCAGCAGUGGGGAAUAUUGGACAAUGGGCGAAAGCCUGAUCCAGCCAUGCCGCGUGUGUGAAGAAGGCCUUCGGGUUGUAAAGCACUUUCAGUGGGGAAGAAAGCCUUGGGGCUAAUACCCUCGAGGAAGGACAUCACCCACAGAAGAAGCACCGGCUAACUCCGUGCCAGCAGCCGCGGUAAUACGGAGGGUGCGAGCGUUAAUCGGAAUUACUGGGCGUAAAGCGCGCGUAGGCGGUCUGAUAAGCCGGUUGUGAAAGCCCCGGGCUCAACCUGGGAACGGCAUCCGGAACUGUCCGGCUAGAGGGCAGGAGAGGAAGGUAGAAUUCCCGGUGUAGCGGUGAAAUGCGGAGAGAUCGGGAGGAAUACCAGUGGGGAAGGCGGCCUUCUGGACUGACACUGACGCUGAGGUGCGAAAGCGUGGGUAGCAAACAGGAUUAGAUACCCUUGUAGUC